CCUACGGGGGGCAGCAGUGAGGAAUAUUGGUCAAUGGACGAGAGUCUGAACCAGCCAAGUAGCGUGAAGGAUGACUGCCCAAAGGGUUGUAAACUUCUUUUAUAUGGGAAUAAAAUGUUCCACGUGUGGGAUUUUGUAUGUACCAUAUGAAUAAGGAUCGGCUAACUCCGUGCCAGCAGCCGCGGUAAUACGGAGGAUCCGAGCUUUAUCCGGAUUUAUUGGGUUUAAAGGGAGCGUAGGUGGAUUGUUAAGUCAGUUGUGAAAGUUUGCGGCUCAACCGUAAAAUUGCAGUUGAAACUGGCAGUCUGGAGUACAGUAGAGGUGGGCGGAAUGCGUGGUGUAGCGGUGAAAUGCUUAGAUAUCACGAAGAACUCCGAUUGCGAAGGCAGCUCACUGGACUGCAACUGACACUGAGGCUCGAAAGUGUGGGUAUCAAACAGGAUUAGAUACCCCUGUAGUC
rnacentral:rRNA from 1 species